rnacentral:rRNA from 1 species
CCUACGGGGCGCACCAGUGGGGAAUAUUGCACAAUGGGCGCAAGCCUGAUGCAGCCAUGCCGCGUGUAUGAAGAAGGCCUUCGGGUUGUAAAGUACUUUCAGCGGGGAGGAAGGCGAUAAGGUUAAUAACCUUGUCGAUUGACGUUACCCGCAGAAGAAGCACCGGCUAACUCCGUGCCAGCAGCCGCGGUAAUACGGAGGGUGCAAGCGUUAAUCGGAAUUACUGGGCGUAAAGCGCACGCAGGUGGUCUGUCAAGUUGGAUGUGAAAUCCCGGGGCUCAACCUGGGGCCUGCAUUCGAAACGGGCAGGCUAGAGUCUUGUAGAGGGGGGUAGAAUUCCAGGUGUAGCGGUGAAAUGCGUAGAGAUCUGGAGGAAUACCGGUGGCGAAGGCGGCCCCCUGGACAAAGACUGACGCUCAGGUGCGAAAGCGUGGGGAGCAAACAGGAUUAGAUACCCGAGUAGUC